UACGGAGGGGGCGAGCGUUAUUCGGAAUUAUUGGGCGUAAAGGGCGCGUAGGCGGCUUGGUAAGUCAAAGGUGAAAUCCCUCGGCUCAACUGAGGAAUUACCUUUGAAACUGCCAGGCUUGAGGCCGGGAGGGGGUAGCGGAAUUCCCAGUGUAGCGGUGAAAUGCGUAGAUACUGGGAGGAACACCAGUGGCGAAGGCGGCUACCUGGACCGGAACUGACGCUGAUGCGCGAAAGCGUGGGGAGCAAACAGGG
rnacentral:rRNA from 1 species